rnacentral:rRNA from 1 species
GACGAACGCUGGCGGCGUGCUUAACACAUGCAAGUCGAACGGAAAGGCCCUGCUUUUGUGGGAUGCUCGAGUGGCGAACGGGUGAGUAACACGUGAGUAACCUGCCCUUGACUUUGGGAUAACUUCAGGAAGCUGGGGCUAAUACCGGAUAGGAGCUCCUGCUGCAUGGUGGGGGUUGGAAAGUUUCGGCGGUCGGGGAUGGACUCGCGGCUUAUCAGCUUGUUGGUGGGGUAGUGGCUUACCAAGGCUUUGACGGGUAGCCGGCCUGAGAGGGUGACCGGCCACAUUGGGACUGAGAUACGGCCCAGACUCCUACGGGAGGCAGCAGUGGGGAAUAUUGCACAAUGGGCGGAAGCCUGAUGCAGCAACGCCGCGUGCGGGAUGACGGCCUUCGGGUUGUAAACCGCUUUCGCCUGUGACGAAGCGUGAGUGACGGUAAUGGGUAAAGAAGCACCGGCUAACUACGUG